rnacentral:rRNA from 1 species
GACGUAGGGGGCAAGCGUUGUCCGGAUUUAUUGGGCGUAAAGAGCGUGUAGGCGGCCAGGUAGGUCUGCUGUGAAAACUCGAGGCUUAACCUCGAGAUGUCGGCGGAAACCAUCUGGCUAGAGUCCGGAAGAGGAGAAUGGAAUUCCUGGUGUAGCGGUGAAAUGCGCAGAUAUCAGGAAGAACACCCGUGGCGAAGGCGGUUCUCUGGGACGGUACUGACGCUGAGACGCGAAAGCGUGGGGAGCGAACAGG